UAUGUGUAGGCUAUAUGCAAAUAUUACACCAUUUUAUAUCAGGGACUUUAGCAUUUAAGGAUUCUGGCAUCUGCAGAAGGUCCUGGAACCAACCCCCCAUGGAUACCAAAAGAUGACUAUACAAGGCAUCGACUAAUUUAAUUAAACAGGGUAGGUGCUAUCAGUCAUCUAUAAUAUUACGAAUUGGCUCUGACUUCUCUGUCUAGGUGUUCUGUAUGACACACUAUGCCCCAAACCAAGCUUAUUAUCCUGCUCACUUUCCAAACAUCCUGGAGAUGUUAUCUCCAUCUGCCUGCACUAUCUCAACUGAAUUGCUCAAACCGGGAGCUUUGGACUCAUUCUGGAUUCUUCCUUUCCCUCUCUCAAUAUACUCAACCAACCAUUGCAUAUUAUCAAAUGCCUCUUGCAUCCAUCCCCUUCUCUUUGCAACAAUACCGGUAUAGACUCCAAUCGCAUCUUUCCUGAACUACCCAAGGAGCCUCUGAUUGGUGUUCCCCUGCCAGUGCAUUCUGUAUAGUACCCCCCAAAUUAUCUCAAGCAUAGAUGUAAUUGUUUGGGUUCUCUGAUACCCAGAGAAGAAAGUAAAAACUUAUUAGAUUUGCUAAGACCCUUCAUGAUCGGGCCUAAGAUAAAUUUCAUUAUCAUCUGCCACUAUUUUCAGCAAGCCCUGUGAUCUAACCACAGCAGGCUACUAGUCACUUCCCUAUGCCACCCAGGCUUUGUUUGAUUUAGUUGUGUCCUCUGCCUAGAAUGCCAUGUCCUCUUUUGUCCAGCGGAAAACUCCCACUUAUCUGCCUAGGUUCAGAUCAGGCAUCAUCUCUAUUUUGUAGUUUUUCACGACCCCCAGUGGCCCCUGCUUCCAUCCACCUUUCCAUCAAUGUUUUCAUGUAUCUCUAUUUUGGUACUGAUUACAUUCUUAAGGCAAAGCUGAUAUGCAAUCAUUUGCACUGUGGCCAUCCAUACUAGCUGUAUAUAGCCAGUCUCCAUUCUGAUUAGUGGGUACUUGUUCAGCACAAGUAUGAAAUAGUAUGAAUAACACCCCGAUUGCUGGCAUUAUUUCAAAUCUAUCUUUACCAUGAUGGCAUGAGAUUAAGGGCAAGGGCUGUGCUUUAUUCAUCCUAUUUCCAGGGACUGGUAUAAUAUCCUCAUAUAGUUGUGCCCCUUAUAUAUUUUAUAAAAUGAACAAAAUGUAGACAAUCAGUCUUUAUAGUCAUUCUUUCUAAAACAGAAUUACUUUUAUCUAAAUAAUUAUGAAAUUUGCCUGAUCUGUACCAAAAUUAUCAUCAACCUGUUUAAUGAUCGAAGCUACACUAUGGAUUUGGUAAGUUCAGAGGUCAGAUAUAGUAACCUCUAGUUUGGGUAAUUUCAUGACUUUUCUUCUUUGAACCUGGGUGGGAAAAGCCUGGACUUUGAAAUCAGACAAACCUGAAAUUGAAUCGAGAGCAAUCUCUUAAACCUAUGAGACUUUGGUAAGCUAUUUAACCUCUCUGAGAUCUAUUUCUUCUUUUUCAAAACGGAGAAAUGGAUACUUCCCUUACCGGGUUGUUAUGAAAACAAGUAAGACCAUGUGUUUAAGGACAUGGCAUAUAAUCCCCCAUGAACAGUAAGCUUUUUAGCCUACUUGGAACUAAUGUAAGUUAGUAGAGAAGCUUUCUAUUCUGAACAGCAAUCUCUCCAAUCAAAAGAGAGGAAGAAAAGGCAGAUAAGGCAUAUAUUUCCUGGAAGCAUCCUGUAGCAGUGUACAUAAGACAUCACAAUGGACUGCAUGUCUGUUAUUAUGAGUCAGUGCUGACUGUGCUGCUGAGAAAUGGUCACAUGGCCAGGGUUAUGUACUACGGAUAAACUAAAGGCCCUGGGCAGUGCUUUGUCAAACAGGAGCUACUGUUAUUUUAUCUCCAAAGCAUCUGUGUUUAAAACAUCUGGAUUCAUUUUCAAUGAAGGCAUCUCUUUUGCUGAUAAAAUAUGAGGAGCAACAAGAUGAAGAAACUAAGUCACAGAGGAUGAACUCACUUGCCCUCAGUCAUUGGUGCCGUUGGUGACAAUUAGGUCUGGAAUUCAGUUUUCCCAUCUCACUGUCUUGAGGAGAAGGAAAAGGCCCAGUGUUCUAUGUCAUUUGGAUGUUGGUGUCUCCCUUUCUGCUGGUACAGGGAGUUGGCACAUUUGUGGGAAUUACAAUCCCAGAGAAGGGGCAGAGCAAGACAGUGGAAGAGAAGUCUCCACCAAUCAUGCCCCCUACAAAGACACCAGUUUAACAACUAUCUACAUGCUAUACACAAAAGAAGCACCUCUAUAAGAACCAAAAAUCAGGGGGCAUGCACCCAAAGAAAAAAGAAAGAAAGGAAAAAAAAAUCUCAACCUUCCUGCUGACUGUUCUUCAAUCACAUUGUAUUGACUUUCUUCUGUUUAGGUGGAGAAGGAAGGGGACAUGAGAAAAGGGCAAAGUAGCAGAAAGCCCAAAAUGUACCUAGUGGGAAAUAAUUGAUUUUUUGUUAAAUCCCCAAGUGCUGACAUGGUCAGGAAGUCAUAGGACUUCCUUUUCUUGGCAAGUCCACAACUGCCUCAGACCCACAUGAAAGAGCUUUCUCUGGGAAUUUUUCUAAAGGGCUUUUAAUUGCGGACAGUCAAAAGAUCCAGAAGUUUACUUCUCAAGAAACACCAAGAGUGAAAACUCUUACUUCUGAUCUGAUGUAACUGCCGUUAGACUCCAAUACAUUUGGAUUUUUCUGGAGGCUACAGUUAAGCAUGUCAACUUGUGAUACGACUUUUAGUCCCUGCUAAUUUCAGUCAGUGGAGAACUAAAGGCAGAUGGGAAGAGGAGAGAGAGAGAGAAAAAAAAAACAAUCAGCUAAAACAAAUGAAUAAUUCAUGCUUAUUUUUCAAUGUCAGUUGCUCUGGUUUUCUUCUUGUUUUAUCUAACCUAUUCUAACAGCCCUUCCUUUGAAUUUUGUACAAUGCACGUUUCUAUAAAUUCAUACUGAAAAACAUCUGGAGCACUGGCAGCAAUUUGCCAAACAGAAACCUGCAGCAAUGGAAAUGUUCUGUAAGACUAUAAAGUUCAGGAAGAAAUGGUAGAGGUGAGUGGUAAAAAUUUCUGAUACAUCACAAUAAGAUGUUCCCCUUGUGAAGGUUUGCCAGGGUUCAUUGCUUACUUCAUUGAUGAUGUUCUUAAUUAUACUAUCUUCAACUUUGUGGAGCA